UCUGGCCCAAACUCUUAUUUGCCGCCUCUGCCUUCCAUGACAAUGGGGUUUCCUCUCCUCAUCGGACAGUUCCGUCGGCGCCGCCGAGCUCGCACCGCCACGGCGAGGCUGACCACUGCUCGAUAUCCUAACUCCAACCCAGCCAACUCCCGCGCGUAGACCCUAAUUCAAAGGCAACCUAAUCCCUCGCCAUGGAGGAUUCCCUCGUGCCGCCGGUGCCUCCUGCCCCAACCACCCUUUUCCUCACUCGCCGGCGAUCACAUCUCGACAGCGCCUCCUACCGCACGCUCUCCCGGCUCUUCUCCCACUGCCUCCACCACCGCCCCUCGCAGCUCGCUUCCCCGGCGCCCCUGGAAGUCGAGCCCGCCGGUGCGAACCCUAUCUGCGACGAGUCACCACAGGGGUGCUCGGUACCGCCUGAAGACGCCGAGUCUGAACGGGGAAAGGACUUAGGAGAAGAGGAGACUGCGGUAAGGACUUCUGUCAUCGAGAACCCCUCACCCGCGGCAGUCGAUGCAGCCACCGGUAACCCUAUUGCAGACCCGGCUGUGGCACCACAGAGAUACAUGGAGCAUCAAGUGGCCGGAGUUCAGCGGGCGGAGGGCGUAACAGAUAUGGUUGUUGGGGGGAACCUCUGCCGUGAGACUGUUGCGUUAGUGGAGGAGUUGGGGGCAGAGGAUGUUUUGAGGUCGAUGAAGGAUUGUUUGGAGGGGGAGGUUGACGAAUUGGCAGAGCCAGAUGUAAUGGUGGUCAAUGAUGAUGAACAUCUGCUGCUUGAUACGAUGAUGACCAACUUCUCAGGGUUGAUUGCUGAUGCCAGUGGCGGCAAACCGUCAAUGCUGAACUAUGGGGUUUCUGGAGGUGAACCACACAAUGAUGGCAGCAUAGCUGAGGGGGUGAAAGAAUUGGGAGCUGGAACUGAAGAAGACAGACCUGUGGGUGAUUCAGAUCAGCACUCAGUUGAUGGUGGCGUGGUUGAGGAAGGAGAGAUUGAGGGUGACAUGCAGGCUCUGGAUGUAGAUGAAUCUGAUGAUUCGGAGAUCGAAGAUGCAGAUGAUGAGGAAUUGGGAGAGGAUUUUGCUAACAGAGUGUUGGGGGAGAAUGAAUCAUCUGGCCUUUCAACGCCUAAAAUUAAAGGAACCAGUGAUCUUGUACUGAACAAGGAAGGUUAUAUCAAGGAUGAUGCACUAAAGCAUGUUACCAGGGCGCAUGCUGUCAGUUAUGAUGAAAUUGUGGAAUGGAAUGAGACACCACUGCCUGAUACUGAGGCUCCCAAACCAGGGAAGAGAAAACGGCAUUUGACAGAGGAAAGAAAGGCUAAGAAGACGAAAAACAAACGGGUUAAAAGAGCACAGCAGCGGAUAGCGGAUGGUGUGAAAAGACUGAAACUUGCACCAGUUAUAAAGCCGAAACCAGUGAAGUUAUGCCACUUCUACAUGCAUGGGAAGUGCCAGCAGGGCAAUGCUUGCAAGUUCUCACAUGAUACUACACCUUUGACAAAAUCUAAGCCCUGCACACAUUUUGCGCGUGGUUCUUGUUUGAAAGGAGAUGAUUGUCCCUAUGAUCAUGAGUUGUCAAAGUACCCUUGCCACAACUUUGUGGAAAAUGGAAUGUGCUUCAGAGGUGAUAAAUGCAAAUUUUCUCAUGUGGUGCCAACUGCAGAUGGUCCUCCCAAACCAGAUGCAAAGAAAUCUGAUGCGUCAUUGGUAUCUGAAAAACCUGGCAGAGAGCAAACAAGUAGCCAGAAAGCAUCGGCGGACCAUGAUGGCGAACACAUAACUUCUGCUCCUACCAAACAUUACUCCAUUCUUAAAAACCUUGCCGGCAUCUCAGUAAAUGCUCUAAAAGCAUCAACCGGUACACCAAAGGGUGUACAGUUUCGUCCUUCCAGUAAAGACAGAUCAAAUUCUAGCAUGCUGCAUCAGGAUGCUCUACCUAUCGAGAAGCAUAUGUAUACAAAUGGCAGUAAACAUCAGAAUUUUGAUGGACCGCAGGCUGCAGAAGGGGAUAAAAAUGCCAUUCCAAAUAAACAGAGAUCACAUCCACUGUUCGAUGAAAAGAACUCAUUAAAAGAAGCUAGUUCACAUCCAAGUUCAGACCCAAAGAGAACUAGUUUGCCUACUGGCUCUACUACAGUGCUUGGAUCACUCAGCACUCAGCACGAAGUUUCAGAGGCUUCAAGAAUUUUGCAGGAAUUCUUAUUUGGUGCUGGCGGUUAGAGGAAAAAUUAGGCUAAGUGCCACCCUGGGUACAUGAAGAUUUGUUAUUAUCCAGUCAACUCACUUCCAACUGCAUAUGGUACUUUCAUUUAGCUAAUCAUUUGUAGCAUUGGAUCUAAGCUUACUGGUAUGAUAAAUGCCUUCCUGAAUCGGUGCUUUGAUGAGUCAUCUCUCACAUAUGAUUCAUUUUAACCACGCUUUGGAAGUUGCUCCGAGUUUGAUGAGUAUGCAGAUUUUUAAAUGUUACCUUGUCAUAGUUGAGGUGUUACUCCCUCUGUUCACUUCUAUAAGACCUUGAAGACGUUUCAGACAAGGUGCAAAAUAGCUCAUUUUCAGUUGUCUGAAACGACUUAUAAAAGUGAACGGAGGGAGUAGUAAUUUUUAGUACAUUUUGUUGUAUCUUGAUAGUUGAUACCACUAAUUUAGUGAUGAAUUGUACAUCUCUGGUAAUAGUAUUAGAGCAUCUACAACCAUGGAUAGCUAAUCCGAGCCCCUAUACGCCCGUGGACGCGCCCGCGGACAGUGACCGGACGGGCAUCAAAACUUGGCAUUUGCAAUGACGGUCCCCUAUUUUCAAAACAUCAAAUCCAUGCAAACACAUGCACGCCCACCAUUUUGGACAAACAUAGCUUAGUGCACACAAAUACACAUAGUUCAUACUUAAUAGUACCUAAUCCAAAUAUAGUUCAAACAUAAAUAUUGUUCAUAGUGCACAACUGAUAAAAUAAAAGACAAGUUUACUGAUUUCCAGUGUGUGUCCACAUUUGCUCGACAAGAUCAUCCAGAAGUUGCAUAUGCACUGGAUGUUCAUCAUCAUCAUCAUUUCGGUAUGAAUUCGUCAAGAUCAUCGUUUCCAUAGCCACCAUCCCACGACGAUUCCAUUGGUGAUCUAGAAGUAAUGACCAAAAGAAUAAAAAACCGGCUUGGACAUUUCAUCGAACACGUAGAGCACGGGGUGAAAGUAUGGUGGAGUUUGACGUACCGGGGUGGCGUCCUGUGGCGUCCUCUUUGUCUGGUGGCGGCCUGGUCGGCGGCGGUGUGCGCUGGGGCGUUCGGUGGUGAAGCCCUGAGUUGGGGAUGGCGGCGGAGCACCGAUAGCGGCGGAAGUCCGGUGGCGGCUGUGUGGAGGAGGGCGAAUAGAGAAGAGGAGAGGGCUUCUCGGGCAAGGAGAGGGGAGGCGGAUAUGAGCGAAUUGGCGUGGGCCCUAGCGGUCGGUCCGACGUGGUGGGCGCGUCCGGGCGUCCCCAUAUCCGCCCCAGAUUUGGGACGGACAUGGGGAGUGCCGGUCAGUCCGGGUGUUUGGGCCGGCUAUGGGGAGGCCAGUUGGGUGGCAUUUUUCCAUCCAGGCGUUUGGGGCGGGCAUGGGAAGUCCGGUUGUAGAUGCUCUUAGAUUAUGUUUUUUUGACUUGGCAUUGCUCACUGCCACCCAAGUAUAAUUUUGACCAUGAGUUGUAUCGUAAUUAUUUGAAACCGUUGGGCAAGUGAUUGGUCAAGCGGCUGGUUUGCUGGUGCAACCGAUCGUUGAAAUAGUAUAAAAAGACAGUUCAAUGAUGUUGUGUUUAAAUAUUUAUCUAAUAAUUAAUUCAGUUUUCAUUUGUAUGACAUAGUAGACCACUGAUAUAAGUUGUAGUUCUUUCUCUGGAAGCACUGAAGCGUUCUGCCACCUGGUUUCUUGGGUCCUUGGAGAGCAUUUGUAGUGGAGGUUUGAAUUCUAGCUCAGCACUAAGUUAAAUGCAAAUUUUAUUGGUAUUUUACACUAACUGGACAGGAGCAGUCUUUGGUACCGGUUUUCGCUAUUUCUACAGGCUGCCUAAUUUCAUGAAGAGUUUUGCUUGCGACAAUAUAUGUUCAUGGUAUAAAAAUUGUGAGAUUGUUAAAGUAUUUUCAUUUUAUGACCAAUCUACUUGUUCACUUAUGACUUGUGAAAUAAAUCCAAAGAUUAAAAACCAAUGUUUGAGUGCAUUCUUCCCAUGGCAACAUGUUCCACUCUCAGACCAGUUCACAAGUACGGUAUUAGCUUUCUACUCCAUUUGUAACCGGUUCUGGCAACUGAAUUUUGAGACUGGGUCAGUGGGAUGUUACCAGUACAAUAUAACUCUUUGUGGUUCCUUGUCAAACAAAGCAUUAGCUUUCAUCCAAGAUUUUUUGUGUGGAGAAAUAUUUAUCUGCAGAGCCUUGUGGAAAUCUUGAACCAGAUCUCGUUAAUUCUUUCCCUUGACUAUUGAUUGAGUGCUAAAUUAUCUGCAGUGUCGGCAUGUGAUCUGAUGUUGUUUUGGUUCACAAGGCGAAGCAGUGGAGAUUUGAGGUGUCAUUAUUCAGUUCCUAACAAAGGCUGCUUUCUGAGGCACCUUGGGUCGAUUCAGUACAUACACAUUUCUUUCUGUUGGGCUGUCUGUAGAAAGAUGCCGCACCGUGCACUAAAUGAUUUCUAGCUGCUCUUCUACCAGUAUCAAGUAUCCAAUGUGCUUAUCAGAAGUGGAGAAAAGAAAAAGAAUGUAUACUUUAUAUUUCUGCUUUCAGGCCCUCCGGAUUCUCCAGGCAAAGAGAGCAUUACUUUGUUGCCCCCGUGAUAAUGGUAGCUAAAGAUGUUGGCCUGGUGCAUUGGAUGGUUUGAACUUGCAUGCAUGCAUGCCGUACCCGGGAUUAUAUCUUGGUUCAGAAUUACUUGUGGAACUACUCUGGAGACUGUGGGACACAGGGGCAGGCAGAAUCAAAGGUAUCCCAGAUUUGUCGCAGACAUCUGAGUUUACGCUCCUGGGUGACUCUUAACUGGCUAUCUCAUUACUCAGUUUUUUUCUACAAUGAUGAUGAUGCCCUUUAAACCGUGUUAAUUCAUCAUGCUGCUCAUGUGAUCAUGCCAGCUUUGAGUGGCUUGUGCCCGAGGUGCAAUUUGUUAUCUUGGUACUCGAAUAGCUCUAUCGCACUCGUGAAAGCAAAAGAUUCAAAGGUUUUGAGUGGCCUGUACACCUGAACCUGUAUGUGUUGCCUGUCAUGGAGACUGGAUAACGUGUGAACUUGGUGAAAGCCCCCCUCCCUGGAUGUGAUGGACUGAUAGGUAGCCACUUUGUUGCUUUCCUCCUACGAUAAAUACUCUCCCUUAUAGUUGGAAAACGAAAUGCAUAUUUACGCCCGUACUUCAGGGCCCUUUAUACUCCAUUCAUGGAGGAUUUGUUGCCAUCUACACCUAAAGGCCCUGUUUGGAUUAUUGUUUUCCUUUUGAAUACCCCUGUAAAAAAUACAGGUCUCAACCCGUCGUUUUGUUUCCGGCCGGGAAUUGCUCAGUGGCUGGUGAGAUACACCUGUAAGUUGAACAGCUCUGUAUAAAAUUACAUUGAUU